AAUAGCUGUUUUUAGAAUGUCCUCAUUGCAGAAGGAAUGGCUGAGUUGUAGCUCUCUUGACAAGCUUUACUCUUCGGUGGGAAAUUGUUCUCAAAGUCUGGAGAAGUUUGUUUCUCUCAGAAUAAUCUAUUGUAGUGUUUCARGAUUCUUUGUGGUCUUGGUUUCUCCAGAAGUAUAACAUAUAAAUUAAUUAAUGGCAGAUUUUGUGGCACAUUUGCUUCUUGUUUCCGGGGAUGCUAAAGAUGUGUUUUCUCAGGUCUAAAACCAAGGAAAUGUGUGUGGAAGAAAUGGCAUCUCAAAAGCUUUAAGGCUACCACRGUAAAUCAUACUAAUAAAGAUGCUAUUGCUAACAUACAAGCUGGUGCAUCUGCCAGUUCUGCAGCAGCCAGUCAGUCUUGCAAAUAUUUUAAACACAUAAUGCAUGGGACUAUAGAUUUUGGAAUGAAACUUAAAGUACACUGCAAAAUCUUGUCAAUAUAAAUUAUUACUAGUAUUUUCAGUUUGUUUUGCACAAAACCAAAAUGUUAAAGCAAUCCAAAAUGAAAUGUGAAUUUUGAUCAGCUCUAAAGAUAUAUCCURCCAAUACAUUGAUAAUUCCAUUUGAUUAGGCUGUAAACAGUAUUACAAAGUAUUUAAAGAGGCUGYUGAUACUCUGUCUUGGUUUGAUUUGUCAGUUUUCUUAUACGAAUGACAGCUACUCUUUUUUUCUACUCCUUUCUCUUGUGUCUGGAUCCCAUUUUCAGUAU